rnacentral:rRNA from 1 species
UACGUAGGGGGCAAGCGUUGUCCGGAAUCACUGGGCGUAAAGCGCACGUAGGCGGUCCGUUAAGUCAUGUGUGAAAUCCCCCGGCUCAACCGGGGAAUUGCGCCUGAUACUGGCGGGCUAGAGGUCGAUAGGGGUGAGCGGAACUCCAGGUGGAGCGGUGAAAUGCGUAGAUAUCUGGAGGAACACCGGUGGCGAAAGCGGCUCACUGGAUCGAAACUGACGCUGAGGUGCGAAAGCUAGGGUAGCAAACGGG